rnacentral:lncRNA from 1 species
CUGAAAUUGCAAUCUUUCUUUCUGCUUUACAAAGCAGAGUAAAACCUAAACUAUUGUUGUUACAAUACCAAACUCAUGGCACAACACUGUGUAAUUUAGAGUUUUAUUAUUUAAUGUAACUCUUUACUCCCUCUGUUAAUUAUCUCUUGUAGUGUAACAGAUGGCCCACAAUUUGGAAGCUUACUACAACAUGAUCACAGUGUUGGUGGAUCAGGAAUACUGGCCCAGCUUAGCUGGGUGCCUCUGACUCAAGAUGAAAUGUAGACCUUUUCAUCAUGUACUCCUAACAUGGCAGCUGUCUUCCUCAAAGAAGAAGAGGAGAGAGAGAACAAGAGAGAGUGACCAAGAUGACCAUCACAGACUUUUUGUAACCUAAUCUUGGAAGUGACACCCCAUUCCCUCUGCUGCAUUAUCUUCUCUAGAAGAACUUAUGUUCUGGUUCAGGAGGCAGAACUAUUGAAAUGUGAUCAGUGCUAUAAAAGCUGUAGGAGUUGUGGGAGCAGAAAAACUUUUUAAGAUGAAGUGAAGCUUGGGCUUGUGUUGAAGAAAACAAUAGGAGAGAAAGCAUCUGCCGACAUGAACCUGUGAGAACCCUGCAAGAAUUACAGACACUUUUAAUGACAAAACCAGGCAUCUGCAUUGGGAGGAGUGGUAAGGAAGAAGGAGGCUGGAUAAAGGAGCCAGAAGCCAUGCUGGGAGGGUCCUAUUAGGCCACACUCAGGACUUUGGAAUCUGCAGUACGUGAAGUGGAAACACUGAAGGAUAUAAUCAGUUAUGUAGAGAAUAAAGAAUGUUCUGAGCCAA